ACCUUGACCACUGACCCAUGUUAAGAGAGCUUCCCCACGGAAGGAGCAACUCGGCUUACACCUUCCUAAGGGCGUGCCUAGUCUCGCCAUAUACUAGGUUGUCACGGUAGUCCCCAGAUUUGUUAUGGUCAGCAAUCUGUUGUGGUAUGAUCUCAAAUUUGUUAGGAUGUGAUUCUGAAAGAUUCACUAUAAAUAGGUCCAAAUAGUUCUCCAAAAAAGGUAAUGAAAACAAAAUAACACCAAAAAUUCAAGUGGGUUAAGGAAAACCCUAUCCUCAGCUCUCUGUUUUCUUUCUCCUUCAUUUUCCAUCCACAAAAUCAAUUACUAACCUAAG
rnacentral:lncRNA from 1 species